GAUUUUAGCAUGGAAUAAUGGAAUAGGACGUGCGGUCCUAUUUUGUUGGUUUCUAGGACCGCCGUAAUGAUUAAUAGGGACAGUCGGGGGCACUAGUAUUCAGCUGUCAGAGGUGAAAUUCUUGGAUUUGCUGAAGACUAACUACUGCGAAAGCAUUUGCCAAGGAUGUUUUCAUUAAUCAGUGAACGAAAGUUAGGGGAUCGAAGACGAUCAGAUACCGUCGUAGUCUUAACCAUAAACUAUGCCGACUAGGGAUCGGUCGAUGUUUUUAUUUUGACUCGAUCGGCACCUUACGAGAAAUCAAAGUUUUUGGGUUCUGGGAGGAGUAUGGUCGCAAGGCUGAAACUUAAAGAAAUUGACGGAAGGGCGCCACCAGGAGUGGAGCCUGCGGCUUAAUUUGACUCAACACGGGGAAACUCACCAGGUCCGGACACAAGUAGGAUUGACAGAUUGAGAGCUCUUUCUUGAUUUUGUGGUUGGUGGUGCAUGGCCGUUCUUAGUUGGUGGAGUGAUUUGUCUGCUUAAUUGCGAUAACGAACGAGACCUUAACCUGCUAAAUAGCCCGGCUGGCUUCGGCAAGUCGCAGGCUUCUUAGAGGGACUAUCGGCUCAAGCCGAUGGGAGUUUGAGGCAAUAACAGGUCUGUGAUGCCCUUAGAUGUCCUGGGCUGCACGCGCGCUACACUGACAGAGCCAACGAGUUCAUCACCUUGGCCGGAAGGCUUGGGUAAUCUUGUUAAACUCCGUCGUGCUGGG
rnacentral:rRNA from 1 species